AUUGAACGCUGGCGGCAGGCCUAACACAUGCAAGUCGAGCGAGCGGCGGACGGGUGAGUAAUGUAUGGGGACUGCCCGAUAGAGGGGGAUAACUACUGGAAACGGUGGCUAAUACCGCAUACUAUCGGAUAACCCAUAUGGGAUUAGCUAGUUGUUGGGGUAAAGGCUCACCUAGGCGACGAUCGCUAGCUGGUCUGAGAGGAUGAUCAGCCAAACGGAGACUGAGAAAGGGCCAAGACUCCUAGGGAGGCAGCAGGGGGAAAUAUUGAACAAUGGGCGCAAGCCGGAUGCAGCCAUGCGGCGUGUAUGAGGAGGGCCUUGGGGUUGUAAAGUACUUUCGGCGGGGGGGCGUUACCCGCGGAAGAAGCACCGGCUAACUCCGUGCCAGCGGCCGCGGUAUUC
rnacentral:rRNA from 1 species